AACUCUGGUAUUGAUUGGUGCUUGCAUCAUGAUUUACAUUUGAGUGAGUGGCGAACUGGUGAGUAACACGUGGGAAACCUGCCCAGAAGCGGGGGAUAACACCUGGAAACAGAUGCUAAUACCGCAUAACAACUUGGACCGCAUGGUCCGAGUUUGAAAGAUGGCUUCGGCUAUCACUUUUGGAUGGUCCCGCGGCGUAUUAGCUAGAUGGUGGGGUAACGGCUCACCAUGGCAAUGAUACGUAGCCGACCUGAGAGGGUAAUCGGCCACAUUGGGACUGAGACACGGCCCAAACUCCUACGGGAGGCAGCAGUAGGGAAUCUUCCACAAUGGACGAAAGUCUGAUGGAGCAACGCCGCGUGAGUGAAGAAGGGUUUCGGCUCGUAAAACUCUGUUGUUAAAGAAGAACAUAUCUGAGAGUAACUGUUCAGGUAUUGACGGUAUUUAACCAGAAAGCCACGGCUAACUACGUGCCAGCAGCCGCGGUAAUACGUAGGUGGCAAGCGUUGUCCGGAUUUAUUGGGCGUAAAGCGAGCGCAGGCGGUUUUUUAAGUCUGAUGUGAAAGCCUUCGGCUCAACCGAAGAAGUGCAUCGGAAACUGGGAAACUUGAGUGCAGAAGAGGACAGUGGAACUCCAUGUGUAGCGGUGAAAUGCGUAGAUAUAUGGAAGAACACCAGUGGCGAAGGCGGCUGUCUGGUCUGUAACUGACGCUGAGGCUCGAAAGUAUGGGUAGCAAACAGGAUUAGAUACCCUGGUAGUCCAUACCGUAAACGAUGAAUGCUAAGUGUUGGAGGGUUUCCGCCCUUCAGUGCUGCAGCUAACGCAUUAAGCAUUCCGCCUGGGGAGUACGGCCGCAAGGCUGAAACUCAAAGGAAUUGACGGGGGCCCGCACAAGCGGUGGAGCAUGUGGUUUAAUUCGAAGCUACGCGAAGAACCUUACCAGGUCUUGACAUACUAUGCAAAUCUAAGAGAUUAGACGUUCCCUUCGGGGACAUGGAUACAGGUGGUGCAUGGUUGUCGUCAGCUCGUGUCGUGAGAUGUUGGGUUAAGUCCCGCAACGAGCGCAACCCUUAUUAUCAGUUGCCAGCAUUAAGUUGGGCACUCUGGUGAGACUGCCGGUGACAAACCGGAGGAAGGUGGGGAUGACGUCAAAUCAUCAUGCCCCUUAUGACCUGGGCUACACACGUGCUACAAUGGAUGGUACAACGAGUUGCGAACUCGCGAGAGUAAGCUAAUCUCUUAAAGCCAUUCUCAGUUCGGAUUGUAGGCUGCAACUCGCCUACAUGAAGUCGGAAUCGCUAGUAAUCGCGGAUCAGCAUGCCGCGGUGAAUACGUUCCCGGGCCUUGUACACACCGCCCGUCACACCAUGAGAGUUUGUAACACCCAAAGUCGGUGGGGUAAC
rnacentral:rRNA from 1 species